UCCCAGACAAUGAAGCCAUGGAAGGGACCUCUGCCGCAAAUUUUUCAAGUCUCCCUCCUCCUUCCUGAAGACUAUCUCAGAUAAGACGGAGG